GAACUCCUACGGGAGGCAGCAGUGGGGAAUAUUGCACAAUGGGGGAAACCCUGAUGCAGCGACGCCGCGUGAGUGAGGAAGUAUUUCGGUAUGUAAAGCUCUAUCAGCAGGGAAGAAGAAAUGACGGUACCUGACUAAGAAGCCCCGGCUAACUACGUGC
rnacentral:rRNA from 1 species